UACGGGGGGGGCAAGCGUUGUUCGGAAUUACUGGGCGUAAAGGGCUCGUAGGCGGCCAACUAAGUCGGACGUGAAAUCCCUCGGCUUAACCGGGGAACUGCGUCCGAUACUGGAUGGCUUGAGUGUGGGAGAGGGAUGCGGAAUUCCAGGUGUAGCGGUGAAAUGCGUAGAUAUCUGGAGGAAUACCGGUGGCGAAGGCGGCAUCCUGGACCGACAUUGACGCUGAACGGCGAAAGCUAGGGGAGCAAACGGG
rnacentral:rRNA from 1 species